UACGUAGGGUGCAAGCGUUUGUCCGGAAUUAUUGGGCGUAAAGAGCUCGUAGGCGGUUUGUCGCGUCUGCUGUGAAAACCCGAGGCUCAACCUCGGGCCUGCAGUGGGUACGGGCAGACUAGAGUGCGGUAGGGGAGAUUGGAAUUCCUGGUGUAGCGGUGGAAUGCGCAGAUAUCAGGAAGAACACCAAUGGCGAAAGCAGCUUCUGGGACGGUACUGACGCUGAGACGCGAAAGCGUGGGGAGCGAACAGG
rnacentral:rRNA from 1 species